rnacentral:misc_RNA from 1 species
AAGUCGUAACAAGGUUUCCGUAGGUGAACCUGCGGAAGGAUCAUUAACACGUAUCCAACGUUAAAACAACCCUGUGAACCUUCAUUCUUGCUCGCGUAACCCCCCUUACACAAUCAAAGACACUUUCAGAACUCUGAUUACUUGGGGGUGCCAGGUCGCUUGCAUCGCUACGAGCGUAACUGCAUCGCAGAGGUCCCUGAAUCAAAAGCUGGUCGGCAAUGAUUUACCAUUGGAGGCCGACACGGCCGACGACCGGGUCCCUGGGUCACCAUGCCCCUUAAUCACCACACUGUAACGCCGACAGGUCGCGAUAAUUCCGCUGACCACAAAAAACCGAACAACUGUUAACAAUGGAUAUCUUGGUUCUC